AUGCUCACUUCAGCAGCACACAUAGUAAAACUGGACCGAUACAGGGUAGCAUGGCCCCUGCACAAGGAUGACACACAAAUUACAUAUUUUU
rnacentral:snRNA from 1 species